rnacentral:lncRNA from 1 species
CCGGUAUGUUUGAUUCUGACAAACAAGGAUAAAAGUCUUGUACCCCCAUUGCUAAUGAGAUGAUGAAACAGCAGGGAUCAAGUUUUUAAUUACUGCAGGCGAGGCGCUGGAGAGGAAGUCGCAACUGAGCGUCCGAACCACAAGCGUUGACUGAGUCUACCGAGUGGCUUACAUUUCUAAGAUCUUGGAGCAGAUACAGAAAAAGGCACCCUCACCUGCUGCCCUGGGAGAAGCCCAGGCACGAAGCCAGAUUUACAAAUCAUAAAGCCGCCACACAGGAAAGGAGUGGAAAUAAACGGGGGCUUGGUGAGAACGGACACAAAGCCACGACCACUCUGGAGACUGAGCGAAGGCUCCAGCCUAGUGACCGACCCUUCAACAGCCUGCGAGGAAAAAUGAGCAUCCUUUACAAGUGA